UAAACUCAAAGGAAUUGACGGGGGCCCGCACAAGCGGCGGAGCAUGCGGAUUAAUUCGAUGCAACGCGAAGAACCUUACCAAGGCUUGACAUGAACCGGAAACAUCUAGAGAUAGGUGCCCCGCAAGGUCGGUUCACAGGUGGUGCAUGGUUGUCGUCAGCUCGUGUCGUGAGAUGUUGGGUUAAGUCCCGCAACGAGCGCAACCCUCGUCCCAUGUUGCCAGCGGGUUAUGCCGGGGACUCAUGGGAGACUGCCGGGGUCAACUCGGAGGAAG
rnacentral:rRNA from 1 species